rnacentral:rRNA from 1 species
GACGAACGCUGGCGGCGUGCUUAACACAUGCAAGUCGAACGGAAAGGCCCUGCUUUUGUGGGGUGCUCGAGUGGCGAACGGGUGAGUAACACGUGAGUAACCUGCCCUUGACUUUGGGAUAACUUCAGGAAACUGGGGCUAAUACCGGAUAGGAGCUCCUGCUGCAUGGUGGGGGUUGGAAAGUUUCGGCGGUUGGGGAUGGACUCGCGGCUUAUCAGCUUGUUGGUGGGGUAGUGGCUUACCAAGGCUUUGACGGGUAGCCGGCCUGAGAGGGUGACCGGCCACAUUGGGACUGAAAUGCGGCCCAGACUCCUACGGGAGGCAGCAGUGGGGAAUAGUGCACAAUGGGCUGAAGCAUGAUGCAGCAACGCCGCGUGCGGUAUGACGGCCUUCGGGUUGUAAACCGCUUUCGCCUGUGACGAAGCGUGAGUGACGGUAAUGGGUAAAGAAGCACCGGCUAACUACGUG